GAUGAACGCUAGCGGCAGGCUUAAUACAUGCAAGUCGAGGGGGAUCAGUUGGGUAGCAAUACUCGGCUGUGAGACCGGCAAACGGGUGCGGAACACGUACGCAACCUUCCCAAAACUGGUGAAUAGCCCUCCGAAAGGAGGAUUAAUACACCGUAACAUAACGAAAUGGCAUCAUUUUGUUAUUAUAGGCUUCGGCCGGUUUUGGAUGGGCGUGCGCCUGAUUAGGUAGUUGGCGGGGUAACGGCCCACCAAGCCUACGAUCAGUAACUGGUGUGAGAGCACGACCAGUCACACGGGCACUGAGACACGGGCCCGACUCCUACGGGAGGCAGCAGUAAGGAAUAUUGGUCAAUGGACGAAAGUCUGAACCAGCCAUGCCGCGUGAAGGAUUAAGGCCCUCUGGGUUGUAAACUUCUUUUAUCUGGGACGAAAAAAGAGUAUUCUUACUCACUUGACGGUACCAGAAGAAUAAGCACCGGCUAACUCCGUG
rnacentral:rRNA from 1 species